GCCAGAGUGGGGUAAUGGUUUGAGAGUUGAACUGCAACUCUGGAGACCAGAGUUCAAUUCUCUGCUCAGCCA